rnacentral:rRNA from 1 species
UACGAAGGGGGCUAGCGUUGCUCGGAAUUACUGGGCGUAAAGGGCGCGUAGGCGGCGCAGUUAGUCAGGCGUGAAAUUCCUGGGCUCAACCUGGGGACUGCGCUUGAUACGGCUGUGCUAGAGGAUGGAAGAGGCUCGCGGAAUUCCCAGUGUAGAGGUGAAAUUCGUAGAUAUCGGGAGGAACACCGGAUGGCGAAGGCGCAGUCUCGGUG